GGCUGUUUUAGUUCAUUGUGUUUCAGAGUUCGGACCCAUGUGGUUUGUGUGGGCUUGAGCCCCCCAUGCAAUUUGAUGGGUGGGCUGAGCCCUAGUACACAAGAAAUGCAGAAUCGUUACACGACAGGAAUAUUUAAAAAUGAUAAUGAAAUGACCAGAGUUGCAUUUAUAAUGGAUCACCUUUGAACAGAUCUCAGGACUUCGGGGGUAGCUCACCUUUUAAUAGACUAUCUAGGCAUUCAUUAUCUGAAAAUGUGGAUCGUUCACCUAUGAGCAGCACAAAAUUAAAUUCCUCCACAGUUUCGAUCGAGAGCUGCUGGUGUAAAAACAAUGCAGGCUGCGGCAGGACCACUGCUUCAACAAGACAUAGAAUAAAUCCAAGUUUGUAUACUGAUGUAAAUAGUCCAGGCUUAACGCAAAGAAUUGUACACUACAGUGAAAGUUUUCAAAAUGAAAGACCUACAAUAGAGCAGCGUUAUAAGGGUGUUGGACAAUUACCUAUAGUAAAUUUAAAUAGAAAUCAGCCAAGAAAAACCUCCUGUAACUAAUUCUUCUGUUAAGAUAAAAAUUGGACCUCCAGUAACAGAACAAAGACUACAUAUGCUGAACACAGAUCAGCAUCGGCCAAUAGUUCCUUUGCCCAUUCAGGAAUCAAUUGCAUCUGCCACAAGAAGUGUGCUUGAAGCACUAAAAGAAAUUAGUCGAAAAAGAAUUCACACUCAGGACAAUUCAGAAUACAGCUUCUCAGAAGAUAUUUCCAAAAGACAAAGAAAGGAAUCGUUGACCAGAAAUAAUGUUAGUUCCACUCCAUUUGCAAGGCCUCCUAUCUAAACGACCUAGAGAUGACAAAUUCCAUGAUUUU